AGAAGUAAAAGUCGUAACAAGGUCUCCGUAGGUGAACCUGCGGAGGGAUCAUUACAGAGUUCAUGCCCUACCGGGUAGAUCUCCCACCCUAUGUUAUUAUUACUUUGUUGCUUUGGCGGGCCGUUAGGCUCCGGCCCGACUACCGGCCCCGGCUGGUAAGCGCCCGCCAGAGGACCCAAAACCCUGAAUAUUAGUGUCGUCUGAGUACUAUAUAAUAGUUAAAACUUUCAACAACGGAUCUCUUGGUUCUG
rnacentral:misc_RNA from 1 species